rnacentral:rRNA from 1 species
AGUUUGAUCCUGGCUCAGGAUGAACGCUAGCGAUAGGCCUAACACAUGCAAGUCGAGGGGCAGCACAUGAAGCAGCAAUGCUGAUGGUGGCGACCGGCGCACGGGUGAGUAACGCGUAUGCAACCUGCCUACAACAGGGGAAUAACCCGUUGAAAGACGGACUAAUACUCCAUAAAACAGGGGUCCCGCAUGGGAAUAUUUGUUAAAGAUUUAUCGGUUGUAGAUGGGCAUGCGUUCCAUUAGCUAGUUGGUGAGGUAACGGCUCACCAAGGCAACGAUGGAUAGGGGAACUGAGAGGUUUAUCCCCCACACUGGUACUGAGACACGGACCAGACUCCUACGGGAGGCAGCAGUGAGGAAUAUUGGUCAAUGGACGCAAGUCUGAACCAGCCACGUCGCGUGAAGGAAGACGGCCCUACGGGUUGUAAACUUCUUUUGUAAGGGAAUAAAGUGAGUCACGCGUGACUUUUUGCAUGUACCUUACGAAUAAGGAUCGGCUAACUCCGUGCCAGCAGCCGCGGUAAUACGGAGGAUCCGAGCGUUAUCCGGAUUUAUUGGGUUUAAAGGGUGCGCAGGCGGGAGAUUAAGUCGGCGGUGAAAUUUUGCAGCUCAACUGUAAAAGUGCCUUCGAAACUGGUUUUCUUGAGUAUGGAUGAAGUAGGCGGAAUUUGUGGUGUAGCGGUGAAAUGCAUAGAUAUCACGAGGAACUCCGAUUGCGCAGGCAGCUUACUAAGCCAUAACUGACGCUCAUGCACGAAGGCGUGGGGAUCAAACAGGAUUAGAUACCCUGGUAGUCCACGCAGUAAACG